GUUUAAAAUAGGAGAUGAAAGAAUAAGCUAUUGGAAAUAACCUUAGGAACGAGCAAACCCGGCAUCGGCAGGCAUGCCUGGGUUCCAUAGUGAUUAUGUUAGUAUCCUAUUAUGGCUCUGUACGUAUGUUUUAUCUAUUCAGUAGAUAUUCUAUGUAGCAUUAGCACAUAUUGGAGGUGUCUUGCUUGUGAACGCAACUUGGGUGUAA
rnacentral:lncRNA from 7 species